rnacentral:rRNA from 1 species
UACAGAGGUCUCAAGCGUUGUUCGGAUUCAUUGGGCGUAAAGGGUGCGUAGGUGGCGCGCUAAGUCAGGUGUGAAAUUUCGGAGCUUAACUCCGAAACUGCAUUUGAUACUGGCGUGCUUGAGGACUGGAGAGGAGACUGGAAUUCACGGUGUAGCAGUGAAAUGCGUAGAUAUCGUGAGGAAGACCAGUGGCGAAGGCGGGUCGUCUGGACAGUUCCUGACACUGGAGGCACGAAGGCCAGGGGAGC